rnacentral:tRNA from 1 species
GGCGUAGCUCAGUUGGUAGAGCGGCUGAUUUGUAAUCAGCGGGUCGUGGGUUCGAAUCCUAUCGCC